GUGACUUGGAUGAACCUAGAGCUAUUUCCCCACUGAGCAGCUCCAGCCUGAGAGGCACCGGCAGUCUCAGCUAAGGGGUCGUGGGGACAGAACAGGGAUGUGGUUCUCCCAAUCUCUUGAUGACCAGCCUGGUUCUGUGGCCCUCAGAAGUCUCUGUAGAAUUUAGGCCUAUAUACAACCGGGAGAACUCUCUGAAAAUCCAGCAGCUGGGUUACAGGGGUUUGGACUGGUUUCCAAGGAAACAGAAGCCCCCACCCCACCCCCAGAGAGGCCCAAGGUAUAGUGGGAGACACUGGCCCUUAGAGCUGAAGGGCCCAGGGUGGGGGAGGAAGAGGCCACAUGGGAAGAGGGCAGGAAGGGGGAUUUGGCACGGGCCUCUGCUGCCUGGUCUCAAUUUACUUGUGAGGAACCCCCUAAUAGCCGGGUGAGAGCCGUGUGCGCUUUCCUGAGAGCCUGCUAAGUGUUUAUGGAAUGAUUUGUGAGGAGAAGUUUCUUUGGAAGCAGCUUGGGGAAGGACUCUAAUGCACCCUAGCGUUUCCAGGAAUAUAGUCACCCUUCAACCUAGGAAGACUUUUCUGUGUUCAGAACAUCUUUGAGAUUGGUUUGACAUUCCUGGCCCCCAGCCUGUGUGUAUAGAAACCACUGCCACAGUGAGCCUACAUACGCACCCAUCUGGUCCAUCCUCUAGAGCUGCCACCCCAGUGUGAAGAUGGUGACCUGUGUGUUUGUACAGGACAAGCUCCCCAAGAAGAUAUGACUUGCCAAGGUCACCUAGCCAGCAGGUAGUGGAGCCAGGACCCACAGCCAGGCUGUCUGACUCCCAGGUGGGCUCUUAACCCUACACUCUCGACCUUUCAAAGCCAAGAUGGUAUCUGUUCAGCCCUCCCUUGAGGAGUCUUAAUGUGUAGGUCAGAGCUGGAAAGGACUGGAUGAAUGACCUAAUCCUUGAUUCUCAGAACUUCAUCAGACCAGCCCUCCCCCACCACACAGCUACGUACCACCAGCCACUGGUCCAGAGAGGAGACUUGGACGCCUACUUUUUCUAAGGAGCCAUGUUUUGGCUGGCUUGUUUAUCAUUGUAGGUAGGGUCAGGCUAAAUAAUGGUGAUUUCAAUGCCAUUCCUGAGAGCCAAUGCUAUUGCUAUGGCUUUGAAACACAAACAGAAGAAGAAUCUAUUAGUCACCAAGGAGUGCAAUAAGCCUGUUGAGUAAUCAGCCUGCCGGCCUUGGUACCUAUGAACCACAAGGAUGAUAAAUGAAAUACCACAGACUUUGAGACUCUUGCAGGUGGGUGUGGGGCUGUGGGGAGGUCACAGGCUUCGGGAAACUGUUUUCCAAGGUGCUUUCCCAUACACCAAGGACUCUCCUCUAUUUCUUGUCUCAGAGACAGGGAAACUGAGGCCAGAGAGGAGAAAUGGUUUAUCCGAGGUCAGCCAGGAGGUUUGGGGAUAGGAUGGAGUUCAGGUUGCCCAUUGCUGUUUGAGGAUAGUAGCACUUACAAGCUCAUGUGCCUAGGUCCCAUUCGGCAUCUCUAUCCUUCUCUCUCAUUUUCCUCCUCCCUCUGACAUUGCCCCAGUCAGUCUGAGCCCCAUCCCUCCUAUUUCAGAUAAGGCUGCCAGAGUUUCUAGAGAGGCUUAGAGACAGGGUGUGGCUUCUGGAAUAUCCAGGACUGGGGACCUAGAAUUGUGUCCUUAACCCAGGCUAUUUGUUUGCUGCUGUGUGGGUGGAUCCAGACAUCACCUGAGAUUUGCCAAAAAGGUAGAGGCCCCAAAGAUUUCUCUAAAACCCAAUCAGAAAGGGCUUCCUCAGCAGAACUUUGACUCCUGAGCACUCAAAAUCCUAUAGUUGGUGUGAACCUGUUCUCUCUAGAGGGGUAUGGCUUCUCUCCUCAGCUUUCCUGUACUAUAAAAUGGGCACAGUCAUCCAAGUUAACACUUCUGUGCUUAAGUUGCCUGGGUGCUGAACUGAGUGGCUCUGCGUAUAUGUUCUCCAUUGACUCUCACUACAAGCUUAAGGCUAGGCUUCACAGUUCCACAUUUAGUGCUAAAGCAACUGAGGCUCAGAAAGUCAGAGUAGCCGGUCCAAGACUCUCACAACAGACCCACCCAGCGUCCACACCUAGAAGGUGCUGGGAAACAUUCUGUAGGCACUUUCGGCACUUGCCCCAGGACAACAGUCUUAAAUCCAGCUGUGAUGGUUGAUGUCAGUUGUCAAGUUGAUAGGGCAUAGAACCAGCUAGAACAGUGGUUCCCAACCUUCCUACCACUAUGACCCUUUAAUACGGCUCCUCAGGAUGUGGUGACCCCUUCUACCCUCAACCAUAAAAUUAUUUUUGUUGCUACUUUCUAACUCUAAUUAUGCUACUGUUAAGAAUUAUAAUGUAAUAUCUAUGCUUUCUGAUGGCCUUAGGUGACCCUGUGAAAGGAUCCUUUGACACCCCCUCAAAGGGUCACAACCCACAGGUUGAGAGCCACCGCACUAGAGUGACUGGUGACUCAGCAGGCAAAGUGCUUUCCAUGCAAGCCCAGCAACCUGAGCUUCAUCUGUGG
ensembl:lncRNA